CAAAGCCAGUGCCCCUGCCAUAGCUCAGUGACAAGGGGACGAUCACACAGGUGACAGAUAUGACAUGACAUGACAGAGCAUUGGCACUGCUCCACCAAGGGCUCUGUAAAUCCCUGGUGACAGGCUUGGGCAAGCAACUCACAAACACCUGGGAACUUGCUACACUUUGAUUGUUUGCAGGUUAGAUAUUAAGAAAAACUUGUUCUCAGAAAGAGUGGUUGGGCACUGACACAGGCUGCCUAGGGAAGCAGUGGAGUCAUUGUCCCUGGAAGUGUUCAAGAAUGCUUCCUGCCUUGGCUUUGCUCACACUGAUGUUUCAGGAGGACACUUCAGCUUGAAGCAACAGCAAUACAGGCUUCUGUGUGCAGGCUUUGGUGUAUUGUGCUCCUAGUAGAUACUGAUACAUUGCUAUGAACUGAAUAUAACUGCAAAGGCAGAUAGGAGUGAAAAUGUAGCUUUGAGCAGACUAGGUGGAUGAUGAAAUGAAAUGCAUACAUGAAGACAUCGUCCCAGUUUCAUUUGUAAAUUGUGAGGUUCUGUCCUAACCUUUACUUCUUUGGAGAGAGAAUUUGAGGAUACAGUUGGUAAUUGCAUGAAAGUGACAUCUCAGUGCUUAGUACUGAACAAAAAGAAUCACAAAUGUUAGGAACUAUUGGUAAAGCAAUAGAGAACAAAACAGAGUUAAUCAUUAUGCCUUUAUAUAAAUGCAUGGCAUGUCUGUGUCUUUGUACUGUUCUGUUCUUUUCAUCUCAGAAAGAAUACAGUGGAACUGGAAAAAGGUUCAAUUGUCCUUGAUUGUCAAGGGCUAUCAAUAUAUAGGAUGUGUUCUGUGCAAGGAAUAGCUAAGUAAGAUAAGAUUCUUCUUUCUGGAAAAGAGACAAAUUACAGGGAACAUGUUAGAGGGCUAUAAAAUCAGGAGUGAGCUGGAGAGGAUGGAUAGGGGUUGAUUGUUCACUGUCUCUUCCACUAUAAGUACCGGGGAUCAUCAGAGUAAGAUAGAGGGAACAAGCUUCAAAACAAACAGAAGUGAGUUAUUCCUAAUGCAGCAGGUAAUUCAUCAGCAAUACUGCCUGCCUGCCUUAGUAUUUAGUGAGCACUGAAGGUUUAGGGGGGACGAAGGGGAGACUGAACAUAUGAAUGGAAAAAAAAAAUGCAUCAGGGGAUACCAACUAGACAGAAACCAGGCUUAACACCAGAGCUGGGAAGAGGUGGUGGCUGGGAGAGUAUCACAGAAGGAGAUAGUCUGUUCUUGCCUUAUUCUCAGUCCUUCUCAGGUUACCCCUUAUGGCAGCUGUAACCUCCAAGCCUGCCUCCUGCCAACUUUGGUUCUCACCAGUUUGGCUAUUCUUAUAUUUGAUGCAUAACAGCGCCUUAACACAGGGGGAUUCUUGGCCCUUCUAACUUGUGUACAUGAAUGCAGUUCCUGAACUGUAUUCAGCACCUAUUCACCUUCACACUAGAAAAUAUGCCUUUAUGUGGCAAGUCAACAGUGCUCUGAUUCGGAAGGUGUUGUGUCAAUCACUAUAAAUAUGCAGUUUGUAUUCACAGUCCAGUUCUUUUCUUUUGUCUUUUCUGUGUCUGUGCUUUUCAUGGCUGUGCUAUGCCAUUUUUAUUGCAAAACAAAGGAAAGACCUUUGUAAUACACAAGGAAAUCUAAUUUGCUUUUCACAGUGGUCCUAAAGCCAGUGAUUGAUGUGUUUCAGUAAUUAAAAUUUGCUACCUUUGAAAUACUAAAUGUAAAAUUUAGGAAGACAGGGGAAUGGGAGAAAACAGAAAAUAUAUUAGCAACUUUCAUGUCUUGUGUUACAGCGUUCAGUAUUCUGCCCAUUUAUGUUGGAACAAGUGAGGAAAUUUCACAUUUAUGAAGAUAAUCCUGCAUACUGGGGAGAGAAAACUGAUAGUCAUUCUGCCUAUUGAGAAGGAAUGAUUGAGCACCAAAUGUCAGUAUACCUUGUCUCAGGAGAAAAAAGAAAUGAAAACUGUAGGUAUUGAACAAGUCACAAGUUAUAGAGAUGAUCAAGGAAUCACAGAAUCAUUAAGGUUGGAAAAGACCUCCAAGAUCAUCUAGUCCAAACACCAACCCAUCCCUACCAUGCCAGCUACCCACGUCCCUCAGUGCCACAUCUCAACAUUUCUUGAACACCUUCAAGGACAGUGACUCCACCACCUCCCUGGGCAGCCUGUGCCAAUGCAUCACCACUCUUUCUGAGAAGAAAUUUUUCCUAAUAUCCAAUAUGAACCUCCGCUUCUACAACUUGAGGCCAUUAACACUCAUCCUAUUGCUGUUACGUGGGAGAAGAGGCUGAUCCUCCACCUUGCUACAAUCUCUUUACAGGCAGUUGUAGAGAGUGAUAAAGUCUCCCCUGAGCUUCCUCCUCUCCAGACUCAACAAUGGAACCCUUUGAAAAUGAUGGUGGAUUUUAGCUUCAUGUAGCUAUUAGAUCUCUUACUGUACACAGCUCAGAGGACCUUUACACAGUACAAAGCCAUACAGUGAUACUGAAGAUAAUGGCAGAUGAGCACAGGUAGUGGAAAGCCCAAACCCAAGAGUGUGCUGCUAUGUAAGCACUGACAUACCUUGUGUCUCUGUUUUCUUUCUGGAGUUUGCUAAGUCUGUUCUGAUCAUUGCUGUUCUAGUAAGUAAGGCCAAGAAAACACUUAGCCUGUGACUGAAGAGGAGGCUCAGGGGAGACCUUAUUGCUCCCUAUAACUACUUGAAGGGAGGUUGUAGUGAGCUGGGGGUCGGCCUCUUCUCUCGUGUAACUAGUGAUAGGACUAGAGGGAAUGGCUUCAAGCUGCGUCAGGGGAGAUUCAGGCUGGAUUUUAGGAAAUACUACUUCUCUGAAAGGGUGGUCAGGCACUGGAAUGGGCUGCCCAGGGAAGUGGUGGAGUCACCGACCCUGGAGGUGUUCAAGGAACGUUUGGACGCUGUGUUGAGAGACAUGGUUUAGUGAGAACUAUUGGUGAUGGGUGAAUGGUUGGAUUGGGUGAUCCUGUGGGUCUUUUCCAACCUUGUUGAUUCUAUGAUUCUAUGAUUCAUCCUUUUUCUCAGCCUCUCUGCAGGGCUAAUGAGAAUGUACAUGUACACACAUUGCAUUAUUGGGCUAUGCAGUGUAGAAUUUUUUUUACAUAUUUGAACAAGUUACCUGGUCUGUGGAAGAUGAAUUUCAACCAUUUGAGUUGCUUAAAGAAAGCUAGAUGUCUUUCCAUACUGUAUAUUGGCCAGAAGUCACCUGGAAUUACAGACUUGAUACAGACAUUGCUGCAUGAAACCCUCUGACUUUUUCUACAUUGCAGACAGCAACAAAAUGAACAUGGAAAUCCCUCCUAGCUUUAACAUUCAUAAAUAACUGAACCACUUACCUGUCUGAAAAAGAUGAUGACCAAAACAAAUCUCAGUAUGUAUAGUUAAUUUUUAAGCACUCUGCUACCAAGCUGUAUUGUCACCAGGUUACAUCUUCAGCCUUCGUUUAUACGCUUACCUAGCAACAUCUCAUCUAUGAAGCUCUGAGCUCUCUGGAGCCUUGGAAGACUCUCUUUCAUCAGUGUGAAGUGGAAGUGAAGACAGCCAAAGUCUUGGGUCUCAUCUUGCUGCUCUCAGAUCCUUGGCCAAUGGCACUCUGGAUAGUUCCAUCUACAGCAAAUCUUACGGUGCAACACCCGCAGUUCAUGCACUGGUGUAGAACUUCCCAGUAUCUUUGAACCUCUGGGUGAGGCCAGUGGCAUCUGAAUGAGAAAUGGAAGCCUCAGAAUGACAUGGGUAUGGAAGACUCAGUUUGCAGAGUUAAGGUCACACAGUGUGUGAUUUCUCUUUUCCAAAUUCCUUAAUGUCAAUGUAUGAUAAAAUACACUUUUAGUUAAUAACCAUAGUUCAUAAAAAUUAACAUGAGACUCCUGCCACCCAUACUGGAAGCAGACUGAACAGGAAUCACAGCAUCCACCAAAUUCUGUUUGUUCAAUAAAACCAACGGCAAAAAAGAGCAAGGGAGGAGUAUGUUGACAAAAUGUGCAGUACACUAUAAAGUAUUUGACACUUCCUCAGACAUGCCAAAGGCAACUGGGCUCUGGAGUAUUUGGAAAGAAGGAGAAUGAAGUACUUUACUGUGUUAAUGCUAGGAGUUAUUGUAUUGUAUUGUAUUGUAUUCCACUACUGACUAAGGAAGAUGGUGGUAUCUAUUAAAGAUCUUUUUUUUUUAAUGGCAAAACUUUUCCAAAAUCUCCAAAAGACCAUGGAAACCCCGGGGAAAAAACAGAUGGCUGGAAAAAAAACUAAAUUAAUGAUGAUAUUUACAAAUCAAGGAUAACAUAGAGGACACAGAAAAUGGUUAAUAUGCCAUCAGUAUAAGGCGAAACUGAAGAAUCUGGAUAACUAUUAUCCAUGAAAAGGAAUAAAAGAUACACAAUGAAAUGUAUAAAUGCAAAACAAUAUGGGCUUAUGGCAAAGUGAAACAAACCUAAUAUUAAAAAAUAAAUAAAUUUUUUGGUUGAUCAAGAUAGAUGGAAAGAUUUCUUUAAAACAUUUAGCUUCAUUCUGCAUUUAACCCUUAUUUAUAAAACUGUUUCUUAAAAUACCAUUGUUGAAUAUGUAAAAUGGGCUUAAGCACUGGCUAAAUAAUAGUCUCAAUGAAUAAAUGUGCAAUACUAAAUAACAAAUUUUGCUGAAUGGGAUUCUUCUAUGGAUUUAGGGGUCUGAAAGUCCAGAUUCCAAAACUGUUUUCACAACACACCAAAAAGUGCAGCCUAGGGAUAUGUGCACUGGAGAACACUGAUGAAAAAUGAGGAAGAGAUUUAACUUCCACAUGUUAGAAUGAGAUAAAUGCUAGAAUAACUCUCUUUGUUCUGGCACAUUCACUUUUAAAAAGUUGUUGAGAAAUUUGAGACAAUAUCACAGAGACACAAAAAUGAUGAGAGGACAUGGAGCAAAUGCUUCACAGGCAAAAGCUCACAAACCUCAGUCUGUUCAUUUUAUCAGAGAGAAGACUGAAAACUGACUUGGAGACAGUGUAUAAAUACUUGGAUGAAAAACAAAACAAAACAAAAAGUUCUCUAAAGAGCUCCUCUAGAAUCAAUGCCUGGAAGCAGAAAGCAGAGAAAUUAAUCCGAAAAAAUAAUGUACAUAUUUUUAAUAGUGAUUUUCACUUAAGCAGAUUAUCCACAGGAUUUUUUUCUUCCAUUCCUUAGGAUGUUCAUCAGGAUUUGGUGCCUCUGUAAAAAACCGUGCUUUUGUCAGAAGCAAAUCUUCAGGCUCCAGGUAGAAGUGAUCUAUAAUUGGCCAGUGAUAAAAAAAGCAGACAAUCUAAUGGCCUUGAAUUUAAUGAAGAUCUGGAUGACUUUAGGAGAAUUCCUGUGCCUAUAGUACUCAAAUAUGUAUAUGUUAAUAAGCCACAAAAGAGUAUAGAAGGGAUGCAUACAACUCAUACAGGAAAUGAAAUGCUCUGAACUCUCAAGAGGAUGUUUAUGUAGAAGCAGCAAGAAGCAUCAACCUCUCUUUCCACAGUUUUAUAAAAACCAACCAUUCAAAAAGAUGAAAAAUCAACAUCCUCUGUUGCUGCCACUAGGUCAGUGUUAUACCCAUAGCACAGCAGGUGUUCACCUGUCAGUCAGCUGAAAAGACUGUUCAAGUGUUCAAGAAAUGUUUGGUUGUUGUAAUAAGGAACAUGGUUUAGUGGGGAAUUACUGGUGGUAGGUGGACAGUUGGGCUGGAUGAUCUUGGAGGUCUUUUCUAACUUUGGCGAUUCUAUAAUUCUGUGACUUGUAGGCAUGCAAGUAGGCUGCCUCUUAGAAGACUAUGGAACGUCACUGAGGUGGCCAAUGCCAAAUGCACAUGGAGAUGCAGUGGGACAAACGAUGAAGAAAGAUGAUUAGAUGAAGAGGAAAAUGUCUUUGGAGUUAUGAAAUGACUGAUUAACAUGAAAACCUUGUGGCUAGUUUACAAGGAUAUUGGAUUUAGCAGGAGAAUUACUGAAAAUCAAACAAACUCGUAUUUAUGUAAAGACACACAUCAGAGUGACUGAAAGAACAUUUAUUUGAAAAAAAAUUGAUUUCAUUUCCAUCUUUCACCAGGAAACUAUUCUUUAUGAAGAAAGAAAAAUGUGAGUCCUUUGCAAAAUAUGAGAUCCAUUCAAUAUCCACUCCCUCCUUGAAAGUCUUGUCACACUUUUUUGCUAUUAAUCAAUGAUCUGUAAGAUGGCCAGGCUUUAAUCGAAGGAAAUGUUAUUAUUCUGCAGGUAAAAGCGUUUGCAACAUGCCAAAGGGUGUUUCUUUAAACUUUAAUGGAUAAAGCCUAGAGAGCAAGUUUCAUUAGUCUGUAGAGAAAAAACAUUUAUUUAUCAUAAUGUGUGAAGCCACGAGUUUUCUGCAUUUGCUUAUGAUCCUGACAAUUUUCAGAUAAAAUUAUAGGAAUAAUCAUGAAAAAGCCCCUGAAGCCUUAGAAUAUUUCCUGUGAGGAAAGAAGAGAUUGUUUCUGUCUGAUAAUUUAAUAAAUAAAUAAAUAAAUAAAUAGGAACAAAACCUAGCAUUUAAAUUCAAGCUAAAUAAAAAUCUUAAAAGGUUUUGUCUUUUCUGUGAGUACAAGGAACACAGGGAGUUCACUAGGAGACAUUUACCUUCUUGUUCUUGAGCUUAGGGGUCUGAACAGUUAUGCCCCCAAAGCGGCAGCUUCCUGUAAUAUUGACCGAACCACCUGAGGCUCCCAGCUCUGGGAAGCCAGGCUGGAUAUUUUGGAAGAAAGAUCUUUCCCCAGAGAUUUCAGGUACUUUCACUCUAGAUUUCAGCUAUAUCACUGACAAUUUUAUUUGUGCAGUUCUUGUGACGGUCCCAGUUGCUGAGUGCAAGUGAAACCCUUACCUCCCAGAUUAUGAAUUCUAUAAAAAGUCUUCUUAUAUUUCAAGAGUGGACAAAGGUUUACAGAGAGCACUCAGAUUAGAAGGAAGUAUGUACUGUGCUAGAAUGUUAGAAUACAGUAUGAUGAAUCCUGGUUCCUAUUUAAGGAAUUAAAAAUAGUGAUGCCUAAAAAAUAAACAAUGCUCUG
ensembl:lncRNA